GAUGAACGCUGGCGGCGUGCCUAAUACAUGCAAGUCGAGCGAACAGACGAGGAUCUUGCUCCUCUGACGUUAGCGGCGGACGGGUGAGUAACACGUGGAUAACCUACCUAUAAGACUGGGAUAACUUCGGGAAACCGGAGCUAAUACCGGAUAAUAUAUUGAACCGCAUGGUUCAAUAGUGAAAGACGGUUUUGCUGUCACUUAUAGAUGGAUCCGCGCCGCAUUAGCUAGUUGGUAAGGUAACGGAUUACCAAGGCAACGAUGCGUAGCCGACCUGAGAGGGUGAUCGGCCACACUGGAACUGAGACACGGUCCAGACUCCUACGGGAGGCAGCAGUAGGGAAUCUUGCGCAAUGGGCGAAAGCUUGACGGAGCAACGCCGCGUGAGUGAUGAAGGUCUUCGGAUCGUAAAACUCUGUUAUUAGGGAAGAACAAAUGUGUAAGUAACUAUGCACGUCUUGACGGUACCUAAUCAGAAAGCCACGGCUAACUACGUG
rnacentral:rRNA from 1 species